CUCCCGCAACCUCAUUGGUCCACCUGUACAGACUGCCACGUAGGAGUUUUUAUUUAAAAAUAAAAAAUAAAAUUUCCAUCUUCAGAGCUUCCUAACGGCAACGGCAGCCACUAACGGUGCUUUCCAUUUUCGUUCUCCAGAGAUUUUUACAAGACAUUUCUUCUCCCGUCUGUGAUUCUAAUUUCAAAUUCUUUCAUUCGAUCAAAGCUACCGCCGGAAGAAAAAUCCCCCUUUUUCUUUUUACGAUCGGAGGCCCCUCCUUCCCCAAUCUCUCUCGCCCAUUUUUCAUCGUUCGAUUCAGGACAGGCUGCCCCGCCGAUAGCCGAUGUCAGCCCAUUGAAGUCUAUUUCGUCCAUUCAUCCAUCGAAGAUUCACUCCAUCUCACCGACAAUUCCUGGAGCAACUGUAUACUAUGUCCAAAAUAUGUGAGAUCUGUUCUAAAUCUCUGUUUCUUGAUUUCUCGCAUGUGGUCCAAAAUAUGUUGUUAGUUUGAAACCUAAAUGACUCAUCUUCGAUCUGAACAAAAGGAUAAUCUUCACUUUAAGUUUUCAAUUGCCCCUUUUUCCUACAUUGUGACCGUAGCUACUGCUGCAGUUUGCAAAACACCAAAUGCAGUCUGCAUGCAACAACAUAUGCCAACCUGGCAGCCAUGGACCCAUGGGACUGAUGGAUCCAAAACUAGGCUGGUAUGCCCUGCAAAUGAGUGUGGGAAAAUCUUUUUCAACUAAUCGGGUUUCCCACAUGAAUGGAAACAAUGGACAGUAGAAAAACUUGAUGACUUGACCAGUCUAUUUUUGGGCCAACCUGAUUGAGUUAUCAAGAUGUCACUACCCUGCUAUGGCAGCGUAGAUCUGAUGAUUCAAUACAACUUGCUGUUGGAACUACACAUGGCUACUAUCUUAAAAUUCCAACAGUUGUUUCAGAUAAUAGAUGGUUGCCGUUCAAAAAUUAUCCGUUGAUGUGAAUAAUUGAUUCAGGACAGUCUGAUCAUCUAAUGGGAUAAAAGUGGUCCCAUUGCUGGUCAAUUGGCACAGAGACCAUCAGAUUGCAAAUCAAACCCAAAUCAGGCUCAUCUGAGGGUCUUGUCAAACACCCAACACUCCAAAUUGCAUAUCUAGACCUUGGCAAGGGCUCACAGAUUAAUCUGAUGGAAGAUCAAUACCAUAUUAACGGUCCUGAUAGAUACCCAAGAUGAGAUAGACAGUCCUCAGUUUUUUUUUUUGUUCCUGCUAACUUUUUGGGCCUCUUUCUGGGUACCAAACAAGUGCUUAAAUAAAAUGAAAUUGGUCCUGUUUGCAAGCCGAUGAAGUUAGCUUUGAAAAGGGCUGGAGAUCCGUUUGUAAAUCUCCAUCUCUUGAUAAGCACUCUACACAUAGCCACAUGGGCCAACCUAGCAGCCAUAGACAUUCACGUGGGAUCCAGGGCAUUGAUGGAUCCAAAACUAGGCUGGUGUGCCCUGCAAAUGAGUGUCCUAGAUCUUGGUUAUCAAUCACCACAUAACAACAAUUACUUGUCCACACACCAUCCAGCGAGAAUGUGACAAUCAGAUCUCAGGCUAUCGCCGUCAACCAGUCAACAGAGAAGAGAGGGGAAACCUUCGGCAAAUUCUGCAGCGAUUUCAAGGGAUGGAAAUGUGGUAGCCCAGAGGGGGGCUUUGCUGCUUUAUAUGGGGAUCGAUAUGGACUUCAUUCGGUAUGGCUGUUUUUGCAGGAUAUAUUUAUGACCGAAAAUUUAAUUUUAGAUAGUGUAACUCAGAUUAUGAGUGUACAUACUAUUUUAUUAGCUGACCUCUAUGCAUGGCAAGGUGCUGCUGACAAAGGCCCUCUAUAUGGCAUGGGUCCUGGUUCUUGGGGUGCAUUUGGGAAGUCUGGCCUCGGGCGUCGCUGACAUCCGUUGUUUUUUUUUCUCCUGCUUGUCCCUAUGUCUCAAUCUGUAAAUUUUCUGUACAUUAUGUAACCUUUCAUUCUCAGGAUGCUUAUAAAUGGGGCUGGUUGUAAAUGAUUUACAGGUUGUGUUUGAAUUCUAAUUUAAGCCCGUAAAGGUCUUCUGAUCUAGAAGAUUCAGCCUAGCAGAAUUUUUAAUUGUUUUUUUU